rnacentral:misc_RNA from 1 species
AGGCGAGCUAAGGGGCUUGGCAUGCAUGUCAUUGCUCAUGACCCAUACGCCCCUGCUGACCGUGCACGUGCUAUUGGUGUGCAGCUUGUGAGCUUUGAUGAAGCCCUUGCUUCUGCAGAUUUCAUCUCACUUCACAUGCCUCUGACCCCUGCUACAAAGCAGAUCCUGAAUGAUGAAACUUUUGCGAAGAUGAAAAAGGGUGUACGGAUUGUGAAUGUUGCUCGUGGGGGUGUGAUUGAUGAAGAAGCUUU